UACGUAGGGGGGCAAGCGUUGUCCGGAUUUAUUGGGCGUAAAGAGCGUGUAGGCGGCCUGAAAGGUCAGCUGUGAAAACUCGAGGCUCAACCUCGAGACGUCGGUUGAAACCAUCUGGCUAGAGUCCGGAAGAGGAGAGUGGAAUUCCUGGUGUAGCGGUGAAAUGCGCAGAUAUCAGGAGGAACACCAAUGGCGAAGGCAGCUCGCUGGGACGGUACUGACGCUGAGGCGCGAAAAGCGUGGGGGGAGCAAACAGG
rnacentral:rRNA from 1 species